CCUUAUCUGGAUCGGGUUUCGCUGGCUAACGUGUUGUGCGAGCGAGCAAAUUCUUCAAUUCGUUGUCGACGAAACCUGCACGGAGUAAGG
rnacentral:pre_miRNA from 1 species